rnacentral:lncRNA from 1 species
AGUGACCUUGAAUUACUGAUUCUCCUGCCUUCACUUUCUGAAUGCUAAUAUUGCAGGCAUGUGACACCAGGCCUAGCUUUACAUGGUGCUGAAGACUGAACUCAAGGUUUUGUGUACACACUCUGCCCAGUGAGCCGUAUCCCCAACUCUACAUUCCCUGCCUUUAGCUGAGACAACGUUUUCUCAGGAAAGCUGGAGAGACAGCCCUGUGUUUCCCAAGUUGAGUUUGAAGGACCUUGGGCCACCCACGAGGGAGUAUGCAAUAGGCAUAGAAACAAAAUGACUCCUGGAAACUUUGAACUUUGCUCCUGGAAUAAGUCCUUGUACACACUUCCAUCUUGCUUUUCUUACUUACCCCCAAAUGAGGUUUUGUGUUAUUAGAAUGACAGUAACUCUCAAGAGAGGUGGACAUUUAUAGGCCAAAUACUGAGU